GGAUUUUAAACUCCCCAAAGCAUAGAUCCGAAGAUUCCCGAAUAGGUCAACCUUUCGAACUACUGCUGAAUCCAUGGGCAGGCAAGAGACAACCUGGGGAACUGAAACAUCUUAGUAGCUAGAGGAAAA